rnacentral:tRNA from 1 species
GCCAGCAUGGUGUAGUGGUUCGAGUAUUGGACUAUGACUCUGAGACCAGGGUUCAAAUCCCAGCUUGGCC